UUUCAGAAGAUGAUCACUACUGCAAAUGGUCUCGUUUUUGGAACUGGAACAAGACUUGAUGUCCUGCCAAAUGAGAAACCUACCACAGCUCCUCAAGUCUUUGAGUUGAAAACUAAAGGGGAAACCUCCUCCACUGCCUGUCUGGCAAAAGAUUUCUUCCCUAAGGAUAUUGAAAUUUAUGUUAAUAACACUAAACAAGAAAGUAUUACCACCAUCUUGUCUAAGAAGGGAUUGUACAGCGCGGUCAGUGUUCAGAAUGUGAAGUCAGAUGUCUUUGGAUGUGAAGUCAAGCAGCCUGAAAAUUUAGUGCAAAACACAACUGAAGAGGCAAAAGUUGAAACUACUUAUAAUCCACCUGAAGAGGAGAAAGGAAAAACAUGUGAAAGAACAGAUAACUCUUCUCACAACACUGAACAAAUCAAUAUGCUCUCCUUAACUGUAUGUGGGAUGAGGGCAUUAUUUGCUAAAACUCUGACCUUCAACCUGAUCUUGAGCGCAAAGAUCUUCAUAAUGUAAGACUACAGUGUAAAGCCAAGGAAAUUUCAGCUUUAUCAACUUUUACAUAUUCAUCGCAACGACCAGAUCAGCAGCUUCCUCUUUACUCUUCUUGUAAACUGUUAAAUAGAGAUCACAUCUAGGAAGGUAUUAAAAUGUCUGUUCAUAAAACAUUGUUGCUUUCUACUAAAAACAGUACCCUACGUGUCCAUAGGUUGUGUGUGGUAGUGGACAUCAGCUCCAUUUACUUUAAAGGAUGCAAUCUUCAAGACCCUUGGACAGGAGUGGUGCUUAUUAUGGAAA